ensembl:snoRNA
CAAGCCCUUUUCACUUUACCAUUUGGAUCUCUGUGUCUAUAAUGGUCAUUCAAGAGGGCAACAGAAAUAUCCCCUUAAAACCCAGGCAAAUGCUUAAUAUUUUGCUUGUGUCCUGUCAGAGGAAACAGUA